CUCAAAGGGUGGUUAAAUACACAAAUUAAAUAAGGCUAAAAACUAACUCCGCUGUAGCACGCAAUAGUUAAAAUAAAUACAACUUCGAAAGUGGCCUUACUAAAAUAAACUUGAACCCACGACAACUAGGAGACAAACUGGGAUUAGAUACCCCACUAUGCCUAGUUAUAAACUUUGAUUUAUCCGCCAGAAUACUACGAGCAACAGCUUAAAACUCAAAGGACUUGGCGGUGCUCCACACCCCCUAGAGGAGCCUGUUCUAUAAUCGAUAAUCCACGAUAAACCUCACCAUCUAUUGCCAAUUCAGCCUAUAUACCACCGUCCAGCCCACCCUUUAAAGGACAAACAGUAGGCACAACUAUAAACAUAAAAACGUCAGGUCAAGGUGUAGCAUAUAAGAUGGGAAGAAAUGGGCUACAUUUUCUAAAUUAGAAAAUUACGAAAAAGCUUAUGAAACUAAAGCUAUAAAGGAGGAUUUAGCAGUAAAAAGAAAAAAGAGUGUUCUUUUUAAACCGGCAAUGGAGCGCGCACACACCGCCCGUCACCCUCUUCAAACAACUAUAAGCAAUAAAUAAACAAAGAUUAAAAAAAGAAGAGGCAAGUCGUAACAUGGUAAGUCUACCGGAAGGUGAACUUGGAACAUC
rnacentral:rRNA from 1 species